AGCAUUCUGAGAAGGAUCUAGAGGUGCCACCACGAACAUUCUGAAGGAGGCUGAUAGAGCGGACAACCCACCAAGUCUGGGAGUUGACUUGACAGCCCUGCCCACGAGAAGCUGGCUAAGACAGCACAGUAGAAAUGUGGCCUGAAGAUUGGGGCACAAACACAGCACAAAUCUAUCAUAACCGAGUCUUAAAUUUGCUUUACAUGUGAAAACCAUAUACUCACACACCAACAAGAACUCACCCCAGCUGGCCUAAGCUAAGGAAUCUACAGUCCUUGGAAAAAGAACAAGUCAGAAGAAAGAACUUCAGGAUCCUUCCAGCUGUUUCCCAUGAUUUAUCAUUCUUACAGUGUAGCCGCUUCAAAAUACUUUUUUAACUUCAUGCUAUGAAUUCCAAACACAUUUAAGGUUAACCUCUGUCUUUGGUGUGAUAUAAGACCACUUAUGCCACUCUGCUUUUUCUUGGUUGGCUUUUACAUUUCCUUUCAUGCAUGCCCUGUUUUCCAGUAAAGUAACCCUAUCCCAGGGCCUUUGACUAGCUCUACUUUUGAAUCAACUAAUAUUUGCUGUUUCCACGUGGCAGGUGUGACCUUAGGCCAGGUGCUAUGAGUUAAACAAAGAUGAAUGAGACUUGGACCCUGCCCUUAAAUAUUCAAACCAGCUAAGGGUUGGUGGUUAAACUCUGGACUCAGACAGACCUGGGGUGGAAUUCCGGCUUCUCUACCUACCAGCUUGGGCAAGUUAUUUACAUUCUUCUAAAUUCCCCCCUUUUUUUCCCCCACAACUGGGCAUGAUAUUAUCUACCUCAUAGGCUUGCCAUGAGGAUUAAUUAAAUAAUAAAGUGCAGUGCCACAUAGUAAGCAAAUAAUUUAGCCUUCUCAUUAUUCCUAUUAUCAUUAUUUCCAUGGGGAAGAGGAUGUUUGGACUUUUCCUUCUGAACCCUCCCUCCCUUUUUUCAUUCAACCUCUUAACUGCACAGAACUCUUCUGUUUUCUUUUAAGAGAAGAGGGAAAGCCAUUCUGAUGAAGAUCUGAGAUGUGAAUAUAACCUUGACUGCAGAUGGACGGAGACAAUAGGAAAUUAUGUCAUACCUCUAUUUAAUCCACGUUGGUCCUGGUUUCAUCUUCUCAUUUCUGACCUUUGAGAAACAUUUGUUGUAGAAAAGGACAAAUAACAUGAUUACGUCGCUGAUGAUUAGUCUCUAGGCAUUCACUCAAUAAAUAUUUAUUCUGUAGUUUCUGGGUGCCAGGCCCUGAUUCAGUGCUAGAAACAGAGUGGUGGACAUGGCAGCCACAGCCUCUAACCUCAUGGAACACAUAGCCCAGCAGAUGGCAAGCACGUGCCCAAGGGAAAGAGGAAAGUCCUGGAGGUGAAUGUGGGGGAGCUUUGCCUAAUCCAUCAGGCACACCAUGACCUUCUAUCAUAGUGGAAGUCCCAUGUGCAUGGUGAGUCACCUGUGCAUGGUGGCAACUCUUUAUUUGCCCAAACUGGAAACUCAGGGUGAAAUAAACAGCUGAAAGAUUGCAGAUCUAUACAAGGGAUUAAAUAGUAGAAUAUUGAAGUCCAUUGAUAUCAUCGAUUUUAAAUUGAAAAAGAAUUACAAAAGAAUGUGGGUUAAGAGAUGGUUUAAACCUCUCCAAGCUAUUUUACCGCUAGAAAUGUUAACACAAAAAAAUAUAAUAAUCUGAUAAUGGAGGAUAAUCGCUGAUAUUUCCUGUGCCUUCCUCCAAUCCUCAGGAUGACACUGGAAAGUAAACUAUGAAUUUGGAUUCAAAAUAAUGUGGUAUGGUUGGAGAGCAUCAACUUCAUCAACUGGAUACAAUGGCUGGAGAUGCUCUGAAUUUUCAGUUAGCAGGGCUCAGCUGGUCUCCAUGAAAAUGGUAGUUCCAUUGGUCACAGUGUCUACAGUGAUUUCAUGUAAAAAUUGCAUCCCAUUGCCUAGCCAUCUGGCAAGGAUCUGAUUGCUGUCCCUUGAGAUUCAGGAAGUUAUGAUGGUAAACUCACAGCUGAACAUGGCUGGAGUAGAGAUGGGGGACUGAGGCCUGGUAUUACACCCAUCUUCCAAAUGGAAUGAGUCCGGUGCUGGGUCAGGUCCCAGUUGACACUCAGAGAGCAUGGCAGGCUGGUCAGCGAUGCGACAGCUCACGAGAGUGAAACCGCACCACACAGAAGUAACAGGGACUCUUUGAGCUCAUUUCCCUUCCUUCCAUUGUGCAAGGAACUUGGCAGGCACCGCUGUGUGGGCCACAGUGGACACUCAGCAAAACAGCACGCGUUUGGCUUCUAAAACUCACUCUGCCAGCUCCUGACUUAUGAGGGUGGUGGCAAAAGACCUGCUCUCUCUCAGCUUCUGUAUCCAUAUCCCUAAAAUGAGGGGGUUGUGUUGUACGAUGCUGAGGAAUGUUAGGAUCAGAUAAGAUGAUGAGAAACUCUGUUCCUCCUCUGUGUUCCCAGACACCUUAACCAGAAACCAGGCAGUCAUGGGAGAUGCCUCACUCCUUGUUUCUCCCCUCCUAUUAUUUCUACCUCCUAAACCCAUCCCUUCCUCUUCUUCCCAAUUGUCCCCCCUUAUGUCAGGCUGUCCUGUUGUCUCACCUGGAUAAACAGAUUCCCAGUGUCUCACUUCACCCUCCUUUCCUGCGUCUGCCCCAUUCACUCG
rnacentral:lncRNA from 1 species